rnacentral:rRNA from 1 species
CCUACGGGAGGCAGCAGUGGGGAAUAUUGCGCAAUGGGAGAAAGCCUGACGCAGCGACGCCGCGUGAGGGAUGAAGGUCUUCGGAUCGUAAACCUCUGUCAGCAGGGAAGAACGGUCACUGUGCUAAUCAGCAGUGAAUUGACGGUACCUGCAAAGGAAGCACCGGCUAAAUCCGUGCCAGCAGCCGCGGUAAUACGGGGGGUGCGAGCGUUAAUCGGAAGUACUGGGCGUAAAGCGCUCAUAGGCGGUAUGUCAAUUCAAGGGUGAAAUCCCCGCGCUCAACUUGGGAACUGCCUUUGAAAAUGGCAAACUGGAGUGUGUGAGAGGAUAGUGGGAAUUCCGGUGUAGGAGUGAAA